UGGCUGAGGGAGCUGGGGUGAGAAGAGGAGGCUUUCUACAAUCCUCUGCCUUACUGCGUUCUGCAACUACCUGAAAGGAUGCUGUAGUGAGGCAAUGUGAGUCUUGAAGCUACAGCACUUGGAUUCAUUGCUUCUCUCAUUGCCUUACCGGUGAAGCAGGACUGAGGAAGAAACUGUUUGAAAGUGUUGUCAGAAAUGGUUGCUCAUCUGACUCUAAACUCGAUUUGGAAAGAGGGCAAUGUAUGUUUCUCUUACUUGUUUCAUCUUCUAGGCUCUUUCACAAAGAGCUCAGUUAGAAGAGGUUUCCUGGGAGUUAUGCUGGCAGCAGUGUUAGUAAU